UCCGAGUUGACCCCGGCAGUCUCCUAGGAGUCCCCGGCCGAACCGCUGGCAACAUAGAACGAGGGUUGCGCUCGUUGCGGGACUUAACCCAACAUCUCACGGCACGAGCUGACGACAGCCAUGCACCACCUGUACACAGGCCCCGAAGGGCUGCCGUAUUUCUACGACAUUCCUGUGCAUGUCAAGCCCAGGUAAGGUUCUUCGCGUUGCGUCGAAUUAAACCACAUGCUCCGCUGCUUGUGCGGGCCCCCGUCAAUUCCUUUGAGUUUUAGCCUUGCGGCCGUAGUCCCCAGGCGGUUCACUUAAUGCGUUAGCUACGGCACGGAAACCGUUGGAGGGUCCCCACACCUAGUGCCCAACGUUUACGGCGUGGACUAC
rnacentral:misc_RNA from 1 species